rnacentral:rRNA from 1 species
AACGAACGCUGGCGGCAGGCCUAACACAUGCAAGUCGAACGCACCGCAAGGUGAGUGGCGCACGGGUGAGUAACACGUGGGAAUGUAUCCUUUGGUUCGGAAUAACGUUUGGAAACGAACGCUAAUACCGGAUGAGCCCUUAGGGGGAAAGAUUUAUCGCCGAAGGAGCAGCCCGCGUCUGAUUAGGUAGUUGGUGGGGUAAAGGCCUACCAAGCCGACGAUCAGUAGCUGGUCUGAGAGGAUGAUCAGCCACACUGGGACUGAGACACGGCCCAGACUCCUACGGGAGGCAGCAGUGGGGAAUAUUGGACAAUGGGCGCAAGCCUGAUCCAGCCAUGCCGCGUGAGUGAUGAAGGCCUUCGGGUUGUAAAGCUCUUUCGCACACGACGAUGAUGACGGUAGUGUGAGAAGAAGCCCCGGCUAACUUCGUGCCAGCAGCCGCCGUAAGAC